rnacentral:rRNA from 1 species
AGCAGCCGCGGUAAUUCCAGCUCCAAUAGCGUAUAUUAAAGUUGUUGCAGUUAAAAAGCUCGUAGUUGAAUUUCGGGAUCAGUGGGUUGGUCGUGCCAACGGUAUGCACUGGCCUCACUGGUUCCUCCUUCUUGUAGAACCGUAAUGCCAUUAAGUUGGUGUUGCGGGGAAACAGGACUGUUACUUUGAAAAAAUUAGAGUGUUUAAAGCAGGCUAACGCUUGAAUACAUUAGCAUGGAAUAAUGAAAUAGGACGAACGAUCCUAUUUUGUUGGUUUCUAGGAUUGACGUAAUGAUUAAUAGGGAUAGUUGGGGGCAUUAGUAUUCAAUUGUCAGAGGUGAAAUUCUUGGAUUUAU